CUGAGCUCAAGUCAGUGCUCAGCUUGGCCUCUGGGAGAACUGGUUGGCACUGAGGGAUAUUUCAAUCAGUGUGAGACUUGGCAGACAGGCCUGUGAUAGAAUUACAAUCGGAGUACCAUCAGAAAAGGAUGGAUUACGUCAAAUCAAUGCUGGAUUCUUGGAUGAAGGCGCCAUCGAGGGCCAGACCCCAUCUCCAAAGUAAAUUUGCUGCAUCCCUCUGGCCCCUCAUUGCCUUCUUUAUGCCCAGUGAAGGCUCCUUAUGUGCCACAAAGGCAUAUCAAG